AUCAUGCAGUCGAGCGGACAGAAGGGAGCUUGCUCCCGGAUGUUAGCGGCGGACGGGUGAGUAACACGUGGGUAACCUGCCUGUAAGACUGGGAUAACUCCGGGAAACCGGAGCUAAUACCGGAUAGUUCCUUGAACCGCAUGGUUCAAGGAUGAAAGACGGUUUCGGCUGUCACUUACAGAUGGACCCGCGGCGCAUUAGCUAGUUGGUGAGGUAACGGCUCACCAAGGCGACGAUGCGUAGCCGACCUGAGAGGGUGAUCGGCCACACUGGGACUGAGACACGGCCCAGACUCCUACGGGAGGCAGCAGUAGGGAAUCUUCCGCAAUGGACGAAAGUCUGACGGAGCAACGCCGCGUGAGUGAUGAAGGUUUUCGGAUCGUAAAGCUCUGUUGUUAGGGAAGAACAAGUGCAAGAGUAACUGCUUGCACCUUGACGGUACCUAACCAGAAAGCCACGGCUAACUACGUGCCAGCAGCCGCGGUAAUACGUAGGUGGCAAGCGUUGUCCGGAAUUAUUGGGCGUAAAGGGCUCGCAGGCGGUUUCUUAAGUCUGAUGUGAAAGCCCCCGGCUCAACCGGGGAGGGUCAUUGGAAACUGGGAAACUUGAGUGCAGAAGAGGAGAGUGGAAUUCCACGUGUA
rnacentral:rRNA from 1 species